AUCAACGCUAAUCGGAUCAGGGUCAGUCGGGUCCUAAGGCUCAGCCGAACGGCGAGGCCGAUGGCAGAACCGGUUAAUAUUCCGGUACUACCCUUUGGGGUGACGUGGAGACGCAGUCGUGACAAUGCCGCCAGCUGACGGAAUAGCUGGUUAAAGGGUGUAGAAGUUGAUUGUGGCAGGCAAAUCCACCACAAGAUUCGAACCUGACAGUAUGGAGCGUCCUUCCGGACAAUCCAACAGUGCAUGUAAUCAUACUGCCAAGAAAAUCCGCUAAACAUAACCUUCAGGGUACCCGUACCGCAAACGGACACACGUAGUCGGGUUGAAUAUACUAAGGCGCUUGAGUGAUUCACGGUUAAGGAACUAGGCAAAUUAACCCUGUAACUUCGGGAAAAAGGGUCCCUACCCGUUAUCGGGAGGGCGCAGAGAAUCGGUCCAGGCAACUGUUUAACAAAAACACAGGGCUGUGCGAAGUCGAAAGACGCUGUAUACAGCCUGACACCUGCCCGGUGCUGGAAGGUUAAGAGGAGAUGUCAUCGCAAGAGAAGCAUUGAAUUGAAGCCCCAGUAAACGGCGGCCGUAACUAUAACGGUCCUAAGGUAGCGAAAUUCCUUGUCGGGUAAGUUCCGACCUGCACGAAUGGUGUAAUGAUCUGGACACUGUCUCAACCGUGAGCUCAGUGAAAUUGUAGUAUCGGUGAAGAUGCCGAUUACCCGCGAUGGGACGAAAAGACCCCGUGAACCUUUACUAUAGCUUAUCAUUGAAUUUGGGCACGUGAUGUGUAGGAUAGGUCGGAGGCUUUGAAGCAGGCACGCCAGUGUUUGUGGAGCCGCUGUUGAAAUACGACCCUUCAUUUGUUUGAGUUCUAACUCGUAAUACGAGGACACUGAUUGGUGGGUAGUUUGACUGGGGUGGUCGCCUCCAAAAGUGUAACGGAGGCUUCUAAAGGUGCCCUCAGGACGAUUGGUAACCGUCCGUAGAGUGUAAUGGCAUAAGGGCGCUUGACUGGGAGACAUACAAGUCGAUCAGGUAGGAAACUAGAGCAUAGUGAUCCGGUGUUUCCGUAUGGAA
rnacentral:rRNA from 1 species